GACCUACGGGAGGCAGCAGUAGGGAAUAUUGCUCAAUGGGGGGAACCCUGAACCAGCAACGCCGCGUGAGGGAAGACGGUUUUCGGAUUGUAAACCUCUGUCUUCUGUGAAGAUAAUGACGGUAGCAGAGGAGGAAGCUCCGGCUAACUACGUGCCAGCAGCCGCGGUAAUACGUAGGGAGCGAGCGUUGUCCGGAUUUACUGGGUGUAAAGGGUGCGUAGGCGGCCCUGCAAGUCAGAAGUGAAAUCCAUGGGCUUAACCCGUGAACUGCUUUUGAAACUGCAGGACUUGAGUGGAGUAGAGGG
rnacentral:rRNA from 1 species